rnacentral:lncRNA from 10 species
AAUUAUAUUUAAUUACAAGUGUGCCCCUGGUAGUCUUUAACUGAAGGGCACUGACUGGGUCACUGGUGAAGUUCCCCGCAGGAACUGAGUCAGACCCCAUCUCAGGGCCCUGCACAAGAUAGGUGCCUGCUCUAAGGCGUGGACCCUCGCCACAGCCCUGGCCCGUCUUGACGGGCGAGGGUUACUGUACUUGUCCCAACCGUACAGAUGAGAAAGCUGAGACUCAGGGCCAGCAACCCGGGUCCCAGCGGAGCGCCCGGCACACGCCGACACUUCAGCACCAGUGGCGGUGGCCACCACUGUGGGCGGAGAUGGCUGCGACGCGUGCGCAGGUGACUGACAGAUGCAAAAUGGAUUGUCUUUGGAGAAACUCUGAGAUACUUUCAAGGAAUAUAAGUUCACAAUAAAAAAUCACAAAUGUAAAAUCGGCAAGAGCCAGCAGAAACAAUGGACAGAAAGAGCAGGCCUGCAAAAACUUAAGACAGUCAAGUUACCAAAGACAGUACAAAGUGCGUUUUAUACUUAAAGAAAUAAAGGAGUUGAAAUAACUUGAGCAUGAAAAUAACCAAAUAGAUUGGGGAAAGUACCAAGUAGAAACGAAAUGAAAAGUAUCAUAAUUGAAAUGGAAAGUUCAAUGGAUUGGUUUAACUAACGGUCAUCAAAAAGAGAAUAAUAGAUGAAGAAAUAAAGAAGUUUUCAGACUCGAAAAAGCUGAACGACUUUACUACCUGCAGACCUGCACUAUAAGAAAAGUUAAGGGAUGUCCUUCAGGCAUAAAGAAAACGA